UGUAUUCAAAGUCCUUUCCACAUCUGACAGAAUAAGAAAAAAAAAUAUCUUGGCAAGUUGUCAAACUUUCCUUGUUUGAUAGUGUUGCUUUGCUUCAUUUCAGUUUAUUUUGAAACGGCUCAUUCUCCACAAGUGAAAAUCCACUCUGCAUCUUUUCUGCUGCUGCUGUUUCCCAGCCUGAUGAAAAGAAAAGUUUAUUUUGAAACGGCUCAUUCUCCACAAGUGAAAAUCCACUCUGCAUCUUUUCUGCUGCUGCUGUUUCCCAGCCUGAUGAAAAGAAAAGAACAAUAGGUGGCAGUAGCAAGACUGGCAGUUGACCAUCACUAACAGGAAGUGGUUGUAAUGUGAGAAAAACGUGCUUUGUGAGUUUUUAUUCUUUUCUCUGAAUUUCAAAUGUACAUGAAACAACAUUUGUUGCAGUCUGAUUUAGCUUUGGCUCACUUGAACUUGCAGUUGGGCCGUUUCUCAGUUUUAGGAGGUCAAAUAGAUCCACUAGAUGAUGUGAGCUCAGCCUUUGGUGUGGAAAUACCGCAUUGCAUGAUGGGAAAUAUAAGCGCACUGUAUCUAAUAAAAUGUAAAAAUAAUCUUUGUCAGCCGUUGGGUCAAAGUGUUUGGUGUGUAUUGAUUUCCUGCAGAUC